rnacentral:lncRNA from 1 species
AUGGAGAAGAGACCCCCUGCCACCCCCAGGGAGGCCUGGGAGGAGGACAGCUCUUCCCAGGGGAGCAACUCUUCACAGCUCUUCUCCGUCUACGACACAACCACGAUGCAGCCACUGCAGCUGGAUGCCAGCUGGUUGCCGAUAUACGAAGAAUCAGAGGAAGCCGUGGAUUUCAUCAUGGCCUUUGUCAGCAGCCUUGACAAGGACACCCACAAGUUCACAUUUCUGAAGAGCACCUACGUCCUGUGCAAAACUGCCUUGAAACGUGGCUUGACUCAGGGCCUGGAUUUAUUCUGCCAAGCAUGCGAAGUGGUAGAGAAUAUCAAGGACCUCCUGGAAAAGGAGCCAAGGGACCAUCUAUCCUCACAGAUCCGGUAUCUUGCCAUGAUCACCAUCGACGAGUUAUGCUUGGUGGAGAAUGUGCUGGAGGGCAAAACCAAAAGCCUCCUCUCUGCAUGUUUCUCAAGUGUCUUAUUGCUCCCCUCGGAAAGGGAAAUGCCACACCAGAGCGCUUCCCUCUUCACCAAGACCCUGAAAGCCAUGGACACAAUGCUGAGGACGGUGGUGCUCAGCUUUCCUGCCUCCAGUGUCUGCAAGGAGCUGCAGGACAUCUUUGAGGUGCUGCUGGACUUCACCAGAUCCGAGAGAGAAGUUGUGCGGGAGAGGGCUGUGGGGAGGAUUGGUGUCCUGGCCAGUUUGCUGUCUAGCUAUUCCACUCUGAAGGCCUCUCUCAGCUUUGGAAGAGACAGUUUUGGACCUGCCUGCCCUGAAGACAUCUCAGUCCCAGUCAUGGGGAGGCUGGUGGGACGUCUCAUUCUUUUCCGAUAUUCCGAGGAACAAACAAGUUAUACAGCUUUCCACGCUCUGUUUUCCCUUGCUGAAUUCCUCUACAAGUCAAGGCCAAGGGAUGGGCCAGACCAAUUUGCUUGGGAAGCUGUGACCACUUCCUCUCUGUGUUACCUGAGCAUCAGAGACUGUACCCAGGUCUUUGGAAAAUACCUCCACUCCAGAGAGAGGACAGAUGUCAUCCUGGAGGCCAUUCAGGCGAUGAGAGAUGCCAGCAUCCUUGACAAGCAGGUGCCCAGCAGCAUGCUGGAUGUGGCCAUGGAAGACCCAAAAUUCUGGCUGACAGAUGUGCCCAAGACAGUGAGAUGCAUUCUUGAAAACCUGCUAUGCAUCACCACAGAGUCAGGCUGUAGGAAAGUGGAGUCGCUGUUUCUCCUGAUGACCAACGAGAACCGCUCGGCAGUGGUCAUCAGCCUGUGUGAGAUGACUCUGCGAGGAGACAGCGCUGUGCAGGAGCUGUGCGACACUCUGUCCUCCAUGCCUGAGAUUUUGGACAAGGUCCUCACGGAGUUUGCUACCUUGCUCCGGAACCACUGGUGCAGCUCUUCCAGAGAAAGCACCUGGAACUCUCACAGAGCUCCAUCCUUGGGGCACAGUGACUUGGAGGAGCUGCGUAACAAGCCCAGCAUCUGGAGCGAUGAGGGCCAUCCCGAUGUGGUGACGGCCUUCCUGAUGCUGGAGAUCCUCACUGGGCUGUCAGAGAGAGCUGAGAUGGCAAAAAAAAUUGAAGUCUUUCUGCCAAGCAUGGUGAAGAUACUGGAAGCUGGCAGUGAAGAUGAGAAGCUGAAGGUCAUUGUGGUCUUCCACAAUCUCCUGCCUCAGCUGAAAAAGUCAAAGGCCAGCUCCAUCACUGUGGCACUGGUGGGGAAGAUCAUACCCCUCUUUGACUCGCAUGAGUGUGGGCAGCUGCGAGAGCUCUCCCUCUGGCUCCUCAGAGACCUGCUGAGGUCCGUGGUGAGAAGGGAUGAGAAGAAGAUGGGGAGGGAGAUGCAGAAUGCACUGAUCCCGCUCCUCUUCCGCUUGAACGACCAUCUCCCCAGCGUGGCCAAGGUGUGGCUUUGAAGGCUGAGCACUGCUGUGGGGGGCACUGACACCUCCCAGGCACUGGGGCAAGGGCUGCUCGCCUCGGGCAGGGCUCCCCCAGCGCAGCCCCGGGGAAGGGUCCCUGUGGAACCAGCACGAGCAGGGGUGGACAAGGUGGCUUGGCCGUUUUCAGCACCUGUCCUGCCCGCUCCAGCAGGGCUCGACAGCAGCCCAGGACACUGAGGCAGCACCUGAGGCCUGAACAUGUGUGCUCCAGAAGCCCAGAGGCUUCUCAGCUUCCCCACAAGUGUCGGGGGCCACGGCUUCAAGCCUCAGUCAGUCCCCCAGAGACUCCAAGACAUUUGGGCUAGGACAAGUCACAGCUUCCUAAGGGUGGGAUCACUGCAGGAAUAAAGCCAAGAGGUCUCUUUCCCCA